rnacentral:rRNA from 1 species
AAAUUGAAGAGUUUGAUCAUGGCUCAGAUUGAACGCUGGCGGCAGGCCUAACACAUGCAAGUCGAGCGGAAACGAGUUAUCUGAACCUUCGGGGAACGAUAACGGCGUCGAGCGGCGGACGGGUGAGUAAUGCCUAGGAAAUUGCCCUGAUGUGGGGGAUAACCAUUGGAAACGAUGGCUAAUACCGCAUGAUGCCUACGGGCCAAAGAGGGGGACCUUCGGGCCUCUCGCGUCAGGAUAUGCCUAGGUGGGAUUAGCUAGUUGGUGAGGUAAGGGCUCACCAAGGCGACGAUCCCUAGCUGGUCUGAGAGGAUGAUCAGCCACACUGGAACUGAGACACGGUCCAGACUCCUACGGGAGGCAGCAGUGGGGAAUAUUGCACAAUGGGCGCAAGCCUGAUGCAGCCAUGCCGCGUGUGUGAAGAAGGCCUUCGGGUUGUAAAGCACUUUCAGUCGUGAGGAAGGUAGUGUAGUUAAUAGCUGCAUUAUUUGACGUUAGCGACAGAAGAAGCACCGGCUAACUCCGUGCCAGCAGCCGCGGUAAUACGGAGGGUGCGAGCGUUAAUCGGAAUUACUGGGCGUAAAGCGCAUGCAGGUGGUUUGUUAAGUCAGAUGUGAAAGCCCGGGGCUCAACCUCGGAAUAGCAUUUGAAACUGGCAGACUAGAGUACUGUAGAGGGGGGUAGAAUUUCAGGUGUAGCGGUGAAAUGCGUAGAGAUCUGAAGGAAUACCGGUGGCGAAGGCGGCCCCCUGGACAGAUACUGACACUCAGAUGCGAAAGCGUGGGGAGCAAACAGGAUUAGAUACCCUGGUAGUCCACGCCGUAAACGAUGUCUACUUGGAGGUUGUGGCCUUGAGCCGUGGCUUUCGGAGCUAACGCGUUAAGUAGACCGCCUGGGGAGUACGGUCGCAAGAUUAAAACUCAAAUGAAUUGACGGGGGCCCGCACAAGCGGUGGAGCAUGUGGUUUAAUUCGAUGCAACGCGAAGAACCUUACCUACUCUUGACAUCCAGAGAACUUUCCAGAGAUGGAUUGGUGCCUUCGGGAACUCUGAGACAGGUGCUGCAUGGCUGUCGUCAGCUCGUGUUGUGAAAUGUUGGGUUAAGUCCCGCAACGAGCGCAACCCUUAUCCUUGUUUGCCAGCGAGUAAUGUCGGGAACUCCAGGGAGACUGCCGGUGAUAAACCGGAGGAAGGUGGGGACGACGUCAAGUCAUCAUGGCCCUUACGAGUAGGGCUACACACGUGCUACAAUGGCGCAUACAGAGGGCAGCCAACUUGCGAAAGUGAGCGAAUCCCAAAAAGUGCGUCGUAGUCCGGAUUGGAGUCUGCAACUCGACUCCAUGAAGUCGGAAUCGCUAGUAAUCGUGGAUCAGAAUGCCACGGUGAAUACGUUCCCGGGCCUUGUACACACCGCCCGUCACACCAUGGGAGUGGGCUGCAAAAGAAGUAGGUAGUUUAACCUUCGGGGGGACGCUUACCACUUUGUGGUUCAUGACUGGGGUGAAGUCGUAACAAGGUAGCGCUAGGGGAACCUGGCGCUGGAUCACCUCCUUAAACGAUGAU